rnacentral:lncRNA from 1 species
CGAAACACAGGGCUCGUGGCAGAGGCGCCAGUCUCCUUCAGAGACGCUGGUCUCCAAAGGCAACAUCUGGGUCCGGUCACCGAAGACAGAUGGGCUCCCUCUACUUCGUCCCCCAUCCCCGCGGGACCUCUGCCGGAGGCGCGGCAUGCUAUUUGAAUGCAAUGAUAUGCUGACUAAAUCGUUCCUGCACGGUGCGCGCAGAGUGCAUUCCUACUGUUAGAACCUAUUCUGUAUCUG